rnacentral:rRNA from 1 species
AUGCCAGCAAGAUAUACACGAGGGCUAUGUUUGAGCAUUUUGGACACAUUUUGUAUGAGUGCGGGGCUUUUCAGGUUGAAGAGAUUCAAAAACAUAAGACAUACAUCACGAUCUAUAGUGAAGCAGAGAAAAGAGAGAAGUGGUCGAAAAUUUCAUACAAGGUUACAAUGCUUGGGCAAUGAAUUCGACUGCGAGUGUGGGAAAUUUGCACACAUGGGCCUGCUGUGUAGCUAUGUACUGAAGGUGCUCGAUUUCAUUGGGGCUAAAGAAAUACCAGCUAAGCAUAUAGUGAAGAGAUGGACGAGGGAUGCUUGCGACGUUCUGCCACCUCAUUUGAUACAAUGCCAAAAGGACAGCAUACAGAACAACCCUUUAUCGUACAGACACUUCAUGAUGUACUUGCACGCCAUGGAUCUAGUCAGGCUGGGCGACACUAGCAUUGAAGCCUACAAUCGGUUGCUGUAG